UCAAUAGAUAUGUGCGAUGAAAAGAAUCGAGUUAGAACUAAUUAGUGUUGCUACUGUUCUCCGCGCACAAUUUUCCUCCAGAGCUUCUUGCUUUUCAAUCCCAAGUAGCUGAAGAUUGGUGUAUCAGGGACCGGAAUGCACUUGACCACCCAACCGAUUGGCCAAGACAUGGCCGCGAUCCCGACGCACG